rnacentral:rRNA from 1 species
UAGGGAAUCUUCCGCAAUGGACGCAAGUCUGACGGAGCAACGCCGCGUGAGUGAAGAAGGAUUUCGGUUCGUAAAACUCUGUUGUUAGAGAAGAACAGCGCAUAGAGUAACUGUUAUGCGUGUGACGGUAUCUAACCAGAAAGCCACGGCUAACUACGUGCCAGCAGCCGCGGUAAUACGUAGGUGGCAAGCGUUGUCCGGAUUUAUUGGGCGUAAAGCGAGCGCAGGCGGUCAAUUAAGUCUGAUGUGAAAGCCCCCGGCUCAACCGGGGAGGGUCAUUGGAAACUGGUUGACUUGAGUGCAGAAGAGGAGAGUGGAAUUCCAUGUGUAGCGGUGAAAUGCGUAGAUAUAUGGAGGAACACCAGUGGCGAAGGCGACUCUCUGGUCCGUAACUGACGCUGAGGCUCGAAAGCGUGGGUAGCAAACAGG